GGACUUACUCCAAGAAGGAAUAUUUAACCGAUAAUUAAGUAAAAGAGGUUUAACUCCUCUUAAGUCCU
rnacentral:tRNA from 1 species